GUAUUUCUGGAAAAGGUGAUUUAAGCUACCGUUUUAGGUAUAUAAGAGUAAUAAAUUUUCUGGGAAAUUAGUUAGAUUCCUUGGAGAAGACCUCGAGAACACAUUGGAGCUAAUGUUGAAAUCUCAUACGGAUUAAUUUUGUUUGAUCCCUUACUCAAAGAUGGAAUUACUAAUACAGUGUUACUGGAAUAACUCGAGGGAUUUAAUUUUUUAUCUUUCAGGAUUAUUCAUUAAUUUCUUUUUCGUACUAAGGAUACCAACUUCCGCUCCAAUCCGUGGUUGAACUCUCGACCUAAGGAAACUGUCUCCUAACAGUACAGGACCAGUGUCUUAGACCGCUCGUCCAUCUAGGCAAGUCAAAAAACUUCCUUUCGAUGCCGAUGGAAUUCUCGCAGCUCCACCCUGCACUACACGGUCAUUGAGAAUGGAAGUGAGGUACAGUUGUUUGGACAAUAGUUUUAUUAGUGGAUCGUUACCGAUACACAUUGUAAUGAAAUUUAUUUUUUAAUUUAUAAACGUGAAUUUCAAAAGUGCUUUCUAUAUUAAUAUUUCUCCACUUAGGGCAGUUAUGUUAGUUUAAGAGUUGUUGUAAAAAUGUGCUGUAUUUUUAGUUCCAAAACAAAUAAAUUUGAAAAUUGAA